CCUACGGGGGGCAGCAGUAGGGAAUAUUGCUCAAUGGGGGCAACCCUGAAGCAGCAACGCCGCGUGGAGGAUGAAGGUUUUCGGAUUGUAAACUCCUUUUGUUAGAGAAGAUAAUGACGGUAUCUAACGAAUAAGCCCCGGCUAACUCCGUGCCAGCAGCCGCGGUAAUACGGAGGGUGCAAGCGUUACUCGGAAUCACUGGGCGUAAAGAGCGCGUAGGCGGGAUAGCAAGUCAGAUGUGAAAUCCUAGGGCUUAACCAUAGAACUGCAUUUGAAACUGUUAUUCUAGAGUAUGGGAGAGGUAGGUGGAAUUCUUGGUGUAGGGGUAAAAUCCGUAGAGAUCAAGAGGAAUACUCAUUGCGAAGGCGACCUGCUAGAACAUAACUGACGCUGAUGCGCGAAAGCGUGGGGAGCAAACAGGAUUAGAUACCCUAGUAGUC
rnacentral:rRNA from 1 species